GUGCUCACUUUGGUAGCACAUAUACUAAAAUUGGAAUGAUACAGAGAAGACUAGCACGGCCCUUGUGCCAGAAUGAACCUAUUUUUAGAUACAGAGAUUAGAUUGGU